CAAAGAUUAAGCCAUGCAUGUCUAAGUAUAAACAAAUUUAUACCGUGAAACUGCGAAUGGCUCAUUAAAUCAGUUAUAAUUUAUUUGAUAUUCACUUACUACUUGGAUAACCGUGGUAAUUCUAGAGCUAAUACAUGCGUACAUAACCUCGACUUCUGGAAGAGGUGCACUUAUUAGAUAAAAAGCCAACGCGGGCAACCGCUUGUAUGGUGAUUCAUAAUAAUUAAUCGAAUCGCAUGGCCUUGUGCCGGCGAUGAUGCAUUCAAAUUUCUGCCCUAUCAAGUUUCGAUGGUAGGUUAGUGGCCUACCAUGCUUUUAACGGGUAACGGGGAAUUAGGGUUCGAUUCCGGAGAGGGAGCCUGAGAAACGGCUACCACAUCCAAGGAAGGCAGCAGGCGCGCAAAUUACCCAAUCCCGACACGGGGAGGUAGUGACAAUAAAUAACAAUACAGGGCCUUUACGGGUCUUGUAAUUGGAAUGAGUACAAUUUAAAUCCCUUAACGAGGAACAAUUGGAGGGCAAGUCUGGUGCCAGCAGCCGCGGUAAUUCCAGCUCCAAUAGCGUAUAUUAAAGUUGUUGCAGUUAAAAAGCUCGUAGUUGAAUUUUGGCCUUGGUUUGUGAGGUUCGGCCUUCACUGGUCGGUACCUUUACGAACCGGGCUCCACCUUCUGGGUUAGCCAGUUGUUACUUCGGUGCAGCUGGUGAACCAGAACUUUUACUUUGAAAAAAUUGGAGUGUUUAAAGCAGGCUUUCAAGCUUGAACAUAUUAGCAUGGAAUAAUGAAAUAGGACUUUGGCCUUAUUUCGUUGGUUUCUAAAGCCAAAGUAAUGAUGAAUAGGGAUAGUUGGGGACAUUAGUAUUCAAUUGUCAGAGGUGAAAUUCUUGGAUUUAUUGAAGACUAACUUCUGCGAAAGCAUUUGUCAAGGAUGUUUUCAUUAAUCAAGAACGAAAGUUAGGGGAUCGAAGACGAUCAGAUACCGUCGUAGUCUUAACCAUAAACUAUGCCGACUAAGGAUCGGAUGGUGUUAUAUUUUAUAUUGACCCAUUCGGCAUUUCAGCGAAAGCCAAGUUUUUGGGUUCCGGGGGGAGUAUGGUCGCAAGGCUGAAACUUAAAGG
rnacentral:rRNA from 1 species